AACUCUUCGGUGAUACAAUUGUGAUGUGAGGCAGUGAACACAAAUGGUAGCAAAGUUUAAAUAGUCUCUCUCCUUUUUCUCGUUAGUCAUCGUCAUUGAAAUGAUUCGCCGACCCAAAAGAGCGAUUUGUUGUUUUUCAAUUUGACAUGAAGUACGCCUACCACAUGUUCGACGAAAUUCCUGAACGAGCUUUUCUUCUACUAAAUUCCUUAACAAUUAUCUUUUGAAGAAAUUGGUAGCAUUCAGCUAGUUACGUUCUGUGUUUAUUCCGUUCCGUUAUCAAGAAACUGUUUUCUUGCUGCUUAAUGCGAGUCAGUGGACGUCAAAGCCAAGUUAUCUCUUGAAGAAAUCGGUAGCAUUCAGCUAGUUACAUACUGUGUUUAUUCCGUUAUCGAGAAACCGUUUUCUUGCUGCAUGAUGCGAGUCAGUGGACGUCAAAGCCAAGAAGGGGUGGUUUCUGGUUGAAGAGGUCAAAGUAUCAACAGAUAUAAAAGCUAAACUUUGGUGUUACACCAUUAAGUUUGGUUGGGCUCAGCACUUGGUCAACUCUUUAUACCUUUCAUUUAAAAUGGGAAGUCAUUAUUGUUCAAUUGCUACAGAGACGUCGUCAGACUUGAGCAAAGAUUAAAUCAUCUGCGAUGGAGGGAGGUGUUUUCUGGAUGAAGUCAAUGGAUGUGAAAGCAAAAUUUUGGUUUUACCUUUCAGUUUGCUAGGUUGGGUUCAGCAUUUUAACUAAAAAUCCAUUGAGAGCUGAAGUCAUGGUACCUUUUAGUAAAAUUGUCAUUAAAGUUCAUUGGCUGGAGUUCACUGAUUAUAUACAGAGACGUUUUCAGACAUGAGUAAAAGGUGUAAGAUUAGUUGGUGGAUAAACAACAGAUGGAGAUAAGUAAUCUUUUCAAGGGAGCCCCCAGAAAAAAGCUGUGGAGGACACACCUCAGGACCAUAGUGAAAUCAAUGGUGAAUUAAGUUCUUGUGGUCAUACUUAGCUUACGUGUUGAGUUGAGCUCUCAUUUUUAAGAUUGUAACCUCGCUCUAUACAUACACAGGACCAUCAAGAAUCUUUUUACUUUGUAAUUGCUAUGCUUAACUAGAUUCAGAGGUCGGUCUUUGUUAAUUAAUAUAACGCCGCAUAUAUCAUUCUGUUUA